AACUGAUACUACCUGCGGGAACCUGCGGAAGGAUCAUUAAUGAGAAACUGCCCCUCGCGGGUAGAUCUCCCACCCUUUGUAAACUUACCUUUGUUGCUUUGGCAGGCCCGUCUCCGGACCGCCGGCUUCGGCUGGCCAGUGCCUGCCAGAGGAUUCUAAAACUCUGUCUGUCAGUGUUGUCUGAGUCUAUAUACAAUCGUUAAAACUUUUAACAACGGAUCUCUAGAUCGGAAGAGCACA
rnacentral:misc_RNA from 1 species